UCCUACUUGGCCUGUGGCGUAAGGGCAUUCUGGGAAUUGUAGUUUCACAUCGCUCUACGUAUUGUUGAGCCCCAGAGCAUCUGCCAUAUAGUAGAACUACAUAUCCCAGCAACCACCGGGAGCUGCUCUCGGGCUCCUCACAGUGGCCACAGUUUAUUGUGCAGCUGCAGUAGGAGUUGAGGUGAAGACAAGGAGUGACCGGCAGCGGAUUAUUUAUAUUUUGUAAGAUAAAUUGAACAGCCUCCCAUCAGAAGCGGUAGGGGCUAAUACAGUGAGGGAUCUAAAACAAGACCAAGGACUGAUUAAGGAAAGGUUGUUGGGGAAUUCUAUCACAUUUAUCUUCGAGGGUCGUAAGCGGAGUGUCCGUCAAAAGCC